AGCUCCAAUAGCGUAUAUUAAAGUUGUUGCGGUUAAAAAGCUCGUAGUUGGGUUUCUGUCGAGGGCGGGCGGUCCUUGCUUGGCGAGAGUAUCUGCCUCGGCCUUGGCAUCCUCGUGGGAGAUGUAACUGCGCUUGAGUGCGUGGUGCGAACCUCGCGACUUUUACUUUGAGGAAAUUAGAGUGUUUGCGGCAAGCUAUCGCCUUGAAUAUAUUAGCAUGGAAUAAUGAUUUAGGAUUUUGGUUCUACCUUGUUGGUUCCUAGAACUAGAGUUAUGGUUAAUAGGGACAAUUGGGGGCAUUUGUAUUAACCUGUCAGAGGUGGAAUUCUUGGAUUAGGUUACGACACGCUACUGCGAAAGCAUUUGCCAAGGGUGUUUUCA
rnacentral:rRNA from 1 species